rnacentral:rRNA from 1 species
UACGUAGGGGGCUAGCGUUGUCCGGAAUCAUUGGGCGUAAAGGGCGCGUAGGCGGCCCGCUAAGUCGAACGUGAAAUCCCCGAGCUCAACUCGGGAACUGCGUCCGAUACUGGCGGGCUUGAAUCCGGGAGAGGGAUGCGGAAUUCCAGGUGUAGCGGUGAAAUGCGUAGAUAUCUGGAGGAACACCGGUGGCGAAGGCGGCAUCCUGGACCGGCAUUGACGCUGAGGCGCGAAAGCUAGGGGAGCGAACAGG